CCUCAUUGGUUUGCAGGGCCAAAAUUUUGGGAAGAUACAUUUAUUUUUGAAGUCAAAAUGGAAAUAGUUUGUGCAAGGAGCAGGCAUAAGCUUCUUUACUCAUUGCUUAAUCCGGAAAAAGUGCAUUCAGCUAUUUCAUGAGUGCCAUCUAGUAGAGAUGGCUUAUCAGUAUUGAAAAUGAACAUGCAAUCCCAUGCCUUCUCAACGCUAUCUGUUAUGUUUCAGGUUGUGCAUCCGCUGCUUAGUUCAACUUGCCUCCACCACACCUCCCAGGCCAUUCUCUCGUGCCCUCUCUUGGAUUCUCUCCCAGAUCCAUGCAAAUACAAAAUACUAGAAGCUGCCUUGAUUUAUUCAUUCCUUCACUUCAUAAACCAUAUCUUUCCUCCAACGUUUCUACCAUGUUGGCCUAUUGAAACUAGUAUCCCACUACAUAAUCUGAUACCUUGUUGUCUUGUAAAGGCUGGGCAAUGAAAUUUUGUAUUGUCUGAAUUGUACACUAACAGAUUAACUGUUGUAAAGUCAUGGUUCAAAUUUCUUGAUGCUGUUGGGUUCUGUUAUCUGAAUAUUAUGUGUUGAACAUGAUCCUACUUGGUUUGUCCUGCUUUUAAAUUGCGUGUUCUGAACCAUCUGAAACUAAUAAUGCUAGUUUGUACUAAGGUUUUGUGUUUGAUUUAGAAGCCAGGUAAUGAAAACUGUGUAUCCUCUAAAAAAGUAUUGUAUGUUCCGUGUUCUAAAGCCUGUGUGAUUGAUAGUACAGUUAAUUAAACAGUUGGUUUUCCUACCAUGAUUUGGCACUGACCUAAUACUUACUGUUUGUGUUUAUUUCAGAGAUGUCUGUUUUCCCUGGUUUCAGAAGAAAAAAACCGCACAAGUUCCAGUGCCUGACACUAAGAUGAAGAUCAGCUGCGCAUGUCUAGACACAAUAAGUUGAGACACAAGUGCAUCGUGAGCUGGUGGUGCGCAUGGAACAACACCGUUAGGUCCUCCUGGCAAUACAACGACUGUUGCAACAGGAGGCCUUGGAGCGAUGGGUUCAGCAGAUUUUGCAAGAAAUGCAUCUUUUUUUGUUGCUGAUUCUGUGUUAAAUCCGAUGAAGUUGUAAAGUAAUGAAUGCUCCUUGCACACAUGCUGUUGUUUAACAGUAAAAAAAAGUGUUUCUAUGUACAUCCUGCUGUUGUGUAUAUUUGAUGGAAUCAGGAAUUGCAUCAUAUAUUUGAUAGCAAUA